AUGCACGCUGGCGGCGUGCCUAAUACAUGCAAGUCGAGCGAACAGAUGAGGAUCUUGCUCCUCUGACGUUAGCGGCGGACGGGUGAGUAACACGUGGAUAACCUACCUAUAAGACUGGGAUAACUUCGGGAAACCGGAGCUAAUACCGGAUAAUAUAUUGAACCGCAUGGUUCAAUAGUGAAAGACGGUUUUGCUGUCACUUAUAGAUGGAUCCGCGCCGCAUUAGCUAGUUGGUAAGGUAACGGCUUACCAAGGCAACGAUGCGUAGCCGACCUGAGAGGGUGAUCGGCCACACUGGAACUGAGACACGGUCCAGACUCCUACGGGAGGCAGCAGUAGGGAAUCUUCCGCAAUGGGCGAAAGCCUGACGGAGCAACGCCGCGUGAGUGAUGAAGGUCUUCGGAUCGUAAAACUCUGUUAUUAGGGAAGAACAAAUGUGUAAGUAACUAUGCACGUCUUGACGGUACCUAAUCAGAAAGCCACGGCUAACUACGUG
rnacentral:rRNA from 1 species